AUGGUAACUGCAAAAACUUCUAGUUAUUGUUCAGCACAUGAUGCCAAUCCUGUUUUACGUGAUGUGAUGUACUACGGGAGGGUAAUUGAUAUUGUCGAGCUAAACUACUCUGGACAGUUUUCAGUGGUGUUGUUUAAAUGUGAAUGGGUUAAUGUGUUCUCAGGAACAGGAAUGAAAAAAGACAAGUACGGUUACACACUUGUCAACUUCUCACAUCUAAUACACAAAGGAGAACAGAUUGAGCAUGAGCCUUUUAUUUUCCCUAACCAGGCGAAUCAAAAGUUCUAUGUGGAAGAUGAAUUGAAUCCAGGUUGGUCUGUGGUAAUGAAGUUGCCAAAGCCUAGAGAUGUAUAUGACUUAGGCAACUUGGAAUGGGAAGCACAGACAGAAAAUGAGCCAUUCCAUGUUUCACAGCUUAGAGAGAAUUUGAAAAGAAAGAACAAUGAACAACAUUGGGUUAGAAGAGACGUUGAGGGGACAAUAGUGGAUGCUAAUAAUGCUUCGAGCAACGAAGAAUAG
rnacentral:rRNA from 1 species